rnacentral:sRNA from 1 species
GAACUCGAUCCUGCUGGCUGCUGUCUCUAUUCUCUCGGCCUGUCAGCAAAGUUAUUUUGCUUUGCAAGUUGGAAAGGCAAGAUUAAAAUACAAAGUUACGCCCCCAGCAGUCACUGGGUCACCAGAGUUUGAGAGAGUAUUUCGGGCACAGUGGACCUGGACAUCUCAUCAGCGUCACUUCAAGGUUCACUGAUCCUAAAGGACUGUUUCUUGUUGGAAGGUCAUCUCAGGACAAAACUGUGUGGAGUUUUAUCCUAUAUUCAUAAUUACAUUGUGGAUGGCUGGGUGGUAUUUCAACCAAGUUUUUGCUACUUGUCUGGGUCUGGUGUACAUAUAUGGCCGUCACCUAUACUUUUGGGGAUAUUCAGAAGCUGCUAAAAAACGGAUCACCGGUUUCCGACUGAGUCUGGGGAUUUUGGCCUUGUUGACCCUCCUAG